GCCGCACCCAGGAAGUGCUGCAGGCUCUGAGAUGCAGGGGUGAGGCUGGCACAACUCUCAGCUCAGAGGAAGCAAAGAGGCUGAGUGAAAGAAGAAGUGAAUGAAGUGGGCGUGCGUGCCCCGGUGGAGAGAGUAGAGCAGAGAAGUGAAGGGGGUGUGUGGCCAUAGAGAGAACAGAGUAGAGAAAUGACAUGCGCAUGUGGCCGUGGGUGAGCAGAGCAGAGGCUGCCCCCAGCACAGCGGCUCCAGAGUUCCUGUUCUUCCUGCAGACAGCGGCAGCGCGGCAGCCGAGAGACAGCAGCAGCAGCUUCACAGGAACUUAGCUACCCAACCACCUUUAGGGGGUUGCAGCGUGGAGCGGGGAGAGCGCUGGACUUGGAGUCUGAACCUCUUGAGUCCCAGUUGCCCACUGGCCUGCUGGAGAACGUCAAGCAAACUCCUUCUCUUGUGCGGCAUUCAGUUUCCCGUGGUCAGCUGGACCUAUCUUGGAAGUCAAGAACUCAGCUACCCAACCACCUUUGAGAGGUUGCAGCGUGGAGCGGGGAGAGCACUGGACUUGGAGUCUGAACCUCUUGAGUCCCAGUUGCCCACUGGCCUGCUGGAGAACAUCAAGCAAACUCCUUCUCUUGUGCGGCAUUCAGUUUCCCGUGGUCACUUGGACCUAUCUUGGAAGUCAGGGCUGUCUAAUCUUUGGCUGAAGGGUGAACCUUGGGAGUGACUUCAUUACUGAGCUA